GGGGAGGUGUGGAAAGAUGACCUGCUGCUGCUGGUGGCCGGCGACCGAGCAGCUCGGCAGCCUCUUGGCCGAAGGGGCGCGUGCCAGAUCCGUUACUCAGCUGCCUCUAUCUUCUCUACUGGAUGUGGCCAUGCAGCUACAGGUCGUGCCCUCCUCUUGCUGCAGGCCGAGCGCUCCUCUAGCUGCAGGUGCAUCACGGGUAGGGAGUACAGACGUACAACAAUCAAAUAACACAGAAAGAAGCGAGCAACCACAAAUUUGUACACACAGCAAAGUACGCAGCAUGUUUGGGUGCUAGGUAAAAUGCUAUUGCACGACACACACAUCAGCAGCAAGCACACAUGUACGUCUAUCACAGAUGUUCAAUUAAAAAACACAGAAUGCAGCGGUAGGCAAAACUGAACUCCAUAGGUAGGGGCUUCACCGCGGCAGCUGCAUGCCUGCAUACAGGAGACCCCGUCCGUGAGUUGUUUCCAGACUGAUCCGUCGGUGCAAGGGUAGCAGUGGCUGCUCUCGUGGCUGAAGCAGGCGGAGGAGGCUCACCAUCUGCCGAAUACGUGUUGUCGGACUGCAUAGGCUCACCGGUCGAACUUCACACGUUGUGCAGAGCUCCAUCUCUCUUCAGCCAAGAUGUAGCAAGGGACCACGAGCAGGACCACGCCUCAGGCCAGCUCUGGUGGUCGCCGAUGCAAAGGGUGACGCCCCGGGCAAAAAGACGAACUACUUGCACGUGCCCGCCGAACUGCAGCCCACCACGGCUUGUGUGUUCCAGUGAGCAACCCCGUUCGUGGAAUGAGAAGAAGCCACCAGAACUACAUCCCAGAUCUUGAGAUACAAGCAUGAUUGGGGAGGAGUACAGAGGGG
rnacentral:lncRNA from 1 species